CGAGCCCCCAAAUCCCCCAAAUCCCGCAUUCGACCUCCACACCCAGCCACGGCUCAACCUCGCCGCCGGCCAUUGCUCCGCCUCCGUCGCAGGCUCCACCUCAUCCGCCGACCACUUUCUCCACGUCCCCCAUCAGCCUUCACCGACCCCUUUACCAAGCCGCUCCCUCCCGCCACCAUCCGACGGCCGCGGCUCCAGCUCCACCACCGGUCACGACACCGCCUCACUGCCUCCGCUGCUGGCCAGCACCCCACCUCCAUCUCCCCCUCCCGCAUCCGGUUGAGCUACGUCCCCUCCCCCCUUCCUCUCCGCCUCCACCAAACCCUUGACCAAGUAGUCGAUUCCUCCGGCACCAUACAGACGCCGUUUCAAGUACCUGUCCGGCACCACAGCGACGCCGCUUCAAGGACGUCAUCAGCGAAGACACCUCGAUGCACAAGAUGGGCCGCAAGGAAUGUAAGAAGACUUGCCAAAAAAUUAGUUUGAAAAUACCUGCUGAUGGUUCUUGUGGAAUUAAGCCUCGACCAACUAAGAGAAUCUAUGUGGACCUGCCAACUAAUAUUAGAACUAUAAGGUGAAAGAAAAAACAGUUACAAGAUACAGAUGUAAGUACUUAAAGAGAAGGGAUGUCAGAUCCUAAAUGUCUGACUGCUCCUGUAGCUCAUGACUUACACAAUAAAGAAGCUGCUUGCAAUUUUAAUGAUCACACACAACAUGGUGUUGAAGGCAAGUUCUAUUAUCAUAUUUUUUUUUUACUAUGUUGACCUUUUUUAGGAUUAAUGAAAUUAAUAACUAAACUAAAUGGAUUCACUUGAAUAAUGAUGUUCACUUUAUGAAGGCAGGAAAUUGACCUUUGAUAAGUAAUUUCAUGUUGCAUAUGUUAUAGGUGACCGGUAUUGUAUACUAAAUUGUUUUUAUAUAGUGAGCCCUAUAUAUUAGCUUUUAUUGUAUGAUCAAUGCACUCUCGCUCGCUACCUCUUUUAGAAGACGAUGACCUUGUCCAUCGUGAUGCCAACAACUGUAUGUCCAAUGGAAGUGAUCUCAAUGCCCAGCCUGAUGAGGACAACCAUAUGGUGAAUGAGAAAGAAGAUGGUGACCUCGUCCAUCAUGAUGACAACACCUCUAUGGCCAAUGGAAGUGAUCUUGUUGCCCAGCCUGAUGAGCACAACCAGACGGUGAAUGAGGAAGUUCCUGAUGUAGGUGUGCAAUUAGUAGAGGAGCAAUCGGAAAGAGGCAAAAACAUGGGGAAAUGCCUCAACAGGAUGAGUCGAGCCCGGAGGUCCAAAAUGCCACUCAUUAUUCAAGAGGGAAAGAUAAGGCCGGAGUUGCCUCUUCUUGCUGCAAAAUUUGCAACUGAGUGCAACAUUGCUGUCAGAAACCAUGUGCCUGUGCUUCAGUGCUGGAAGGAUUACUAGAAAAAGGACAACACCGGGAUCUUCCAAGAUUUAGUCGGCAAAGUGGGCAUAAAGUUCCACAUGGACACUGAAGCUGCACCAGUUAUGAAGGCUUGUACACAAAUGAUGAAGUCAGUAGUGCGCCAGCAGCGAUACAGGCUCAAGAAGAAGUAUUUUGACCCUUUCCCUCUCAAUUUGGUGACGAUAAUUUCUCUUGUCAAAUCAAUGACUCAUGACCAGUGGAAUGCCCUUGUGGAAAGCUGGAAGAAUCCCACAAAAAUGGAGAUCUGCCAAAAGAAUAAAGCGAACCGUGCUCAAGUUAAGUUCCAUCAAACAACUGGUUCGUGCAGCUAUCCUGUGCAUUGUGAUAAUUUGGGAGAAAAAUACAAAGAUGAAGAACCCAAUGCAUUGGAUUUGUUCAAGGAGUGUCAUUAUAGUAACAAGAAGAAAGGGUACACAGACACCGUACAAUCUGCAAUUGUAAGUCAGGGUUUGAAGUGUGCUAACCAUACCAGAAUGCUUACUUUUUUUCAAGAGAUCCAGCAGUACAAUAAUCAAUAAUCAUAAAGUCAGCCUAAACAGAGGUAGAAGAAUAAUUUGACUUUGAAACAAUGAAGCAUGUGUCACUUUAAUAAAACGACUAGAUAUUUUCUGAGUAUUCUUUGCUUCUUACAUGAAUAUGAUCCGCUUGGCAAUCGUUGAAUGUUUUAUGACACCUUCAUAUCUUAUCUACAAAGACAACAAUUCAUACAUGGGUUCAAUUUAUUCUGUCCAUAUUUUGGGCAGUUUUCAUACUGUGUAUGCCCAUGCUAUAUUUGUUCCCAUGAUUUCUUAGAAAAUUACUUGAACUUAAUAUUUUGCACAAUUAGACGUCAUCACCUGUACAUCACAUACAUACAUGUGAUUAAACCAAGUGAGAUCACCUAUUUGCACAGGCGGAGCUACGUGAGAGAAAAACGUGCCAUGGCCCACCCUGCCCAAAAUAAAAUAAAUUUACUUCUGCUGAGUCCACUCCCUGAGAUCUUAUGGGUUUCACCUCUACCCUACCCCAACUUGUUUGGGACUAAAGGCUUUGUUGUUGUUGUUGUUGAGUCCACUUCCUGAGCAGCAUGCAUGAGAUACUUUUCUUCUUGCCAGCCUGAAUGCACAACGGUCUUUGCGGUUGUUCGCAGCCUGAAUGCGAAGCCUAGUCUACGAGCUGAGCAGACCAGCACGCCUCACAUCUAGCAGUGCAUCAUCUAAAAUUCACAAUAGCAAUUUUCCUAUAGGCUACAGAAAUUAGAGAAUCGCAGUUCAGAAUCCCAGUACACACACAUUUCUGAAUUUUAAAUCCGUAGGAAAUCCCCCAUAGGUGUAAUGUGCUCUUUGCAGUUACAGAUUUGGUAGCAUGAAUUAUUUCAUCAACUACUGCUUACAAACUUUACAAAUUGUAAAUUCAGAUACUAGAUAUUUUGCCAUGGGCAAGGCCAGUCAGUGAACAAUUAAUUUGGUUUUCAAAAGAAAGAGGGAUGGUUCAGAAUUGUGAUGGUUUUCAAAAUAAUUGAGUGCUGACUAAUGCCUUAGAACUAAUAUGGUUUAGAAUUGUUCUUUUGUUCUCCUUUUGGCCCGCCCGCCCAGCUAUUUCAUUGUAGCUCCAACACUGCUUGAUCUUUUGCUAAACCAAAUGGAUGCUAAACUUGAUCUUUUGCUAAGCCAAAGAUGAUCGAGGUCAUCUACUGGGUAAGGCGUCAUCGUUGAAACACAAUAUUGUUGUAAGGGGAUGGCAAUAUGUGAUCUUUUGCUGGUGCCAUUCUUUUGUUGGAAUCUACCUGGCAAUGCUUUUGCUGCUGCAAACUGCAUGCAUUCUGUUCAUGGACAUGAAUGCAUGCAUUUUGCCACAGGUAGUUUGUGGCACUGGAGUGAUUGUAAUUUCAUAUUUAUGUUGGAUCAGAACAUGUGUCAUCUGGUGUUGAAACUUUAAUUUAUAUGUACUGUGAUC